rnacentral:sRNA from 1 species
AUAUCAAUAAGCGGAGGAAAAGAAACCAACAGGGGAUUGCCCUAGUAACGGCGAGUGAAGCGGCAUCAGCUCAAAUUUGAAAUCUGGCUCUUUCAGGGUCCGAGUUGUAAUUUGCAGAGGGCGCUUUGGCGUUGGCAGCGGUCCAAGUUCCUUGGAACAGGACGUCACAGAGGGUGAGAAUCCCGUACGUGGUCGCUGGCCUUCGCCGUGUAAAGCCCCUUCGACGAGUCGAGUUGUUUGGGAAUGCAGCUCUAAAUGGGAGGUAAAUUUCUUCUAAAGCUAAAUACUGGCCAGAGACCGAUAGCGCACAAGUAGAGUGAUCGAAAGAUGAAAAGCACUUUGGAAAGAGAGUCAAAUAGCACGUGAAAUUGUUGAAAGGGAAGCGCUUGCAGCCAGACUUGCCUGUAGUUGCUCAUCCGGGCUUUUGCCCGGUGCACUCUUCUGCGGGCAGGCCAGCAUCAGUCUGGGCGGUUGGAUAAAGGUCUCUGUCAUGUACCUCCUCUCGGGGAGGCCUUAUAGGGGAGGCGUAAUGCAACCAGCCUGGACUGAGGUCCGCGCAUCUGCUAGGAUGCUGGCGUAAUGGCUGUAAGCGGCCCGUCUUGAAACACGGACCAAGGAGUCUAACAUCUAUGCGAGUGUUUGGGUGUCAAGCCCGAGCGCGUAAUGAAAGUGAACGGAGGUGGGAUCCCUUUAGGGUGCACCAUCGACCGAUCCUGAUGUCUUCGGAUGGAUUUGAGUAAGAGCAUGGCUGUUGGGACCCGAAAGAUGGUGAACUAUGCUUGAAUAGGGUGAAGCCAGAGGAAACUCUGGUGGAGGCUCGCAGCGGUUCUGACGUGCAAAUCGAUCGUCAAAUUUGGGCAUAGGGGCGAAAGACUAAUCGAACUAUCUAGUAGCUGGGUUCU